CUACGUGCCAGCAGCCGCGGUAAUACGUAUGUCGCGAGCGUUAUCCGGAAUUAUUGGGCAUAAAGGGCAUCUAGGCGGCCAGACAAGUCUGGGGUGAAAACUUGCGGCUCAACCGCAAGCCUGCCCUGGAAACUGUUUGGCUAGAGUGCUGGAGAGGUGGACGGAACUGCACGAGUAGAGGUGAAAUUCGUAGAUAUGUGCAGGAAUGCCGAUGAUGAAGAUAGUUCACUGGACGGUAACUGACGCUGAAGUGCGAAAGCUGGGGGAGCGAACAGGAUUAGAUACCCUGGUAGUCCCAGCCGUAAACGAUGAUUACUGGGUGUGGGCAUGAAGAGUGUCCGUGCCGAAGCUAAUGCGAUAAGUAAUCCGCCUGGGGAGUACGGCCGCAAGGCUGAAACUCAAAGGAAUUGACGGGGACCCGCACAAGCGGUGGAGCAUGUGGUUUAAUUCGACGCAACGCGAGGAACCUUACCAGAUCUUGACAUCCC
rnacentral:rRNA from 1 species